rnacentral:rRNA from 1 species
CCUACGGGAGGCAGCAGUGGGGGAUAUUGCACAAUGGGGGAAACCCUGAUGCAGCGACGCCGCGUGGGUGAAGAAGUAUUUCGGUAUGUAAAGCCCUAUCAGCAGGGAAGAAAGAAGACGGUACCUGACUAAGAAGCCCCGGCUAACUACGUGCCAGCAGCCGCGGUAAUACGUAGGGGGCGAGCGUUAUCCGGAUUCACUGGGUGUAAAGGGAGCGUAGACGGCCGUGCAAGCCAGGAGUGAAAGCCCGGGGCCCAACCCCGGGACUGCUCUUGGAACUGGGCGGCUGGAGUGCGGGAGGGGCAGGCGGAAGUCCUGGUGUAGCGGUGAAAUGCGUAGAUAUCAGGAGGAACACCGGCGGCGAAGGCGGCCUGCUGGACCGCGACUGACGUUGAGGCUCGAAAGCGUGGGGAGCGAACAGGAUUAGAUACCCUAGUAGUC